rnacentral:rRNA from 1 species
CUGGCGGCGUGCCUAAUACAUGCAAGUCGAACGCACUCUCGUUUAGAUUGAAGGAGCUUGCUCCUGAUUGAUAAACAUUUGAGUGAGUGGCGGACGGGUGAGUAACACGUGGGUAACCUGCCCUAAAGUGGGGGAUAACAUUUGGAAACAGAUGCUAAUACCGCAUAAAACCUAUCACCGCAUGGUGUAGGGUUGAAAGAUGGUUUCGGCUAUCACUUUAGGAUGGACCCGCGGUGCAUUAGUUAGUUGGUGAGGUAAAAGGCUCACCAAGACCGUGAUGCAUAGCCGACCUGAGAGGGUAAUCGGCCACACUGGGACUGAGACACGGCCCAGACUCCUACGGGAGGCAGCAGUAGGGAAUCUUCCACAAUGGACGAAAGUCUGAUGGAGCAACGCCGCGUGAGUGAAGAAGGUUUUCGGAUCGUAAAACUCUGUUGUUGGAGAAGAAUGUAUCUGAUAGUAACUGAUCAGGUAGUGACGGUAUCCAACCAGAAAGCCACGGCUAACUACGUG